UACGGGGGGGGCAAGCGUUGUUCGGAAUUACUGGGCGUAAAGGGCGCGUAGGCGGUCUGCUAAGUUGGAUGUGAAAACUCUGGGCUUAACCCAGAGCCUGCAUUCAAUACUGACAGGCUAGAGUUCUGGAGGGGAUAGCGGAAUUCCUGGUGUAGCGGUGAAAUGCGUAGAUAUCAGGAGGAACACCGGUGGCGAAGGCGGCUAUCUGGACAGAGUCUGGACGCUGAGGCGCGAAAGCUAGGGGAGCAAACAGG
rnacentral:rRNA from 1 species